rnacentral:rRNA from 1 species
UGGGGAAUUUUGGACAAUGGGCGAAAGCCUGAUCCAGCAAUGCCGCGUGUGUGAAGAAGGCCUUCGGGUUGUAAAGCACUUUUGUCCGGAAAGAAAUCCUUGGCUCUAAUACAGUCGGGGGAUGACGGUACCGGAAGAAUAAGCACCGGCUAACUACGUGCCAGCAGCCGCGGUAAUACGUAGGGUGCAAGCGUUAAUCGGAAUUACUGGGCGUAAAGCGUGCGCAGGCGGUUUGCUAAGACCGAUGUGAAAUCCCCGGGCUCAACCUGGGAACUGCAUUGGUGACUGGCAGGCUAGAGUAUGGCAGAGGGGGGUAGAAUUCCACGUGUAGCAGUGAAAUGCGUAGAGAUGUGGAGGAAUACCGAUGGCGAAGGCAGCCCCCUGGGCCAAUACUGACGCUCAUGCACGAAAGCGUGGGGAGCAAACAGGAUUAGAUACCCUGGUAGUCCACGCCCUAAACGAUGUCAACUAGUUGUGGGGAUUCAUUCCUUAGUAACGUAGCUAACGCGUGAAGUUGACCGCCUGGGGAGUACGGUCGCAAGAUUAAAACUCAAAGGAAUUGACGGGGUCAUAGCUGUUUCCU